UUAAAAUAUUUUUGAAUCAACAUUUACUCAUCAAAUGCUCUGGUCUGAAUCUUAUUUUAAAUUAACUUAAUUAUAUGUUUAAUGAGCAAUGUUAAUUGCACACAGAGUAAGAUUAUCUUGUUUUUCAGAAGAGAAGGAAGACCAAGGAAAUGAUUUGCUCAUGAGGAAUGAAGACGGCCAUCUUGAGCCCAAACAAAGACAGAAGUCCUCUGAUGAUCUCAUCAGCCAAAUGGGGGGUUUUGACCAAGUGAUGCUCUUGAAAGGACUGAAAGAAGAGGAUGUGGUAAAUUGUCUUCAGAGAAAAACCUUCUCAAAAGGUCUCAAAACAGCUUGAAGAAUGGUCUGGGAUCUUAGGACUGAGAGAUCCUCUGGCUGAGAAAAGGCUACACCACAUCAGUGCUGGAUAUCAACCACAAACAGUUUCCAGACACGAGAGAAGAAGAUCACGAUGGGGAGAUGAAACCAGUUUAGAUAUGAUGAUGGGAAUCAUUAUUUUCUGGAACAGUAUCACAUGUCUUAUAUGUAUCACAUGAUCUGUAUCACAGUUGACUGGAUGGAUUAUUUUUACUUUUAAGGACAUUUCAUCACUCAUCUGUGUGAACUGAUUAAUUUAUGAUAUUAAUGAAUUUUUGAUCCUUUAUUAUUUUCCUUGAAUUGUGUUUGUCUUGAAGCUACUUUAUCAACUUCAUAGUCUAUGCUUCAAUAAAAUUAAUAUGGUGAAUAUUGUGUGUUGAAAAUUCUUGGUAAAUUCAUAAUUUUACUAGAUACUGUAGGCUACUAUGGGUUUAUUCUACACUUGAAAAACUACAUAUUAAUUACCAGGAUUAUUUUUUGCUUAAACAUUAAUGACAUC